UGAAAUCAUGCUGAAAACACCAGUUCUUGUUUUGAUCACUGAAGUUAAGCAACAUUGAGCCUGGUCAGGACUUAAAUUGGGGACUCCUUGGGAACACCAGGUUUUG